UGGCUAUGAUGACAAAAAGGCCGGACUUACAGCUGCUUCCAGUGGGUUGGUAGUAGAAUGAUGAAGUUUUGCUAAGGUGAUUCUGAGCCAG
rnacentral:snoRNA from 11 species